rnacentral:misc_RNA from 1 species
AGCUAAACCUCAGUACUCUAGG